rnacentral:rRNA from 1 species
UGCAGUCGAGCGAAUGGAUUGAGAGCUUGCUCUCAAGAAGUUAGCGGCGGACGGGUGAGUAACACGUGGGUAACCUGCCCAUAAGACUGGGAUAACUCCGGGAAACCGGGGCUAAUACCGGAUAAUAUUUUGAACUGCAUGGUUCGAAAUUGAAAGGCGGCUUCGGCUGUCACUUAUGGAUGGACCCGCGUCGCAUUAGCUAGUUGGUGAGGUAACGGCUCACCAAGGCAACGAUGCGUAGCCGACCUGAGAGGGUGAUCGGCCACACUGGGACUGAGACACGGCCCAGACUCCUACGGGAGGCAGCAGUAGGGAAUCUUCCGCAAUGGACGAAAGUCUGACGGAGCAACGCCGCGUGAGUGAUGAAGGCUUUCGGGUCGUAAAACUCUGUUGUUAGGGAAGAACAAGUGCUAGUUGAAUAAGCUGGCACCUUGACGGUACCUAACCAGAAAGCCACGGCUAACUACGUGCCAGCAGCCGCGGUAAUACGUAGGUGGCAAGCGUUAUCCGGAAUUAUUGGGCGUAAAGCGCGCGCAGGUGGUUUCUUAAGUCUGAUGUGAAAGCCCACGGCUCAACCGUGGAGGGUCAUUGGAAACUGGGAGACUUGAGUGCAGAAGAGGAAAGUGGAAUUCCAUGUGUAGCGGUGAAAUGCGUAGAGAUAUGGAGGAACACCAGUGGCGAAGGCGACUUUCUGGUCUGUAACUGACACUGAGGCGCGAAAGCGUGGGGGAGCAAACAGGAUUAGAUACCCUGGUAGUCCACGCCGUAAACGAUGAGUGCU